UACGUAGGGUGCGAGCGUUGUCCGGAAUUAUUGGGCGUAAAGGGCUCGUAGGCGGUUUGUCGCGUCGGGAGUGAAAACAUCGGGCUUAACUCGAUGCUUGCUUUCGAUACGGGCAGACUUGAGGUAUGCAGGGGAGAAUGGAAUUCCUGGUGUAGCGGUGAAAUGCGCAGAUAUCAGGAGGAACACCGGUGGCGAAGGCGGUUCUCUGGGACGGUACUGACGCUGAGACGCGAAAGCGUGGGGAGCGAACAGG
rnacentral:rRNA from 1 species